UCUGGCUAUGACAUGUGUCAUAUCAUUGAUCGCCAGCUGAUCUGAGUGGCUAGGUGGGUGUCCCCU
rnacentral:snRNA from 1 species